AUAUUACCGGCAGGGUCAUGAUCAAGAAGGUGGUUCACCCAGGGCGAGGCUCAGGCAUUGCACUCUGGCUGUGCUGACCCCUGCGAAUUCCCCAAAUGUGGGAAUCGACUGCAUAAUCUCUGGUAGUGGGGGACUGCCCUGA
ensembl:snRNA U1 U1 spliceosomal RNA